rnacentral:rRNA from 1 species
GACGAACGCUGGCGGCGUGCCUAAUACAUGCAAGUCGAACGGAAAGGCCACUUGGGGGCUACUCUAGCGGUGAACGGGGAAGUAACACGGGAGUAACCUUCCCUUGACUACGGGACAAGUACAGGAAACUGGGGCUAAUACCGGAUAGGAAUCAUUGCUUCAUGGUGGUGGUUGGAAAGUUUCGGCGGUUUUGGAUGUACUCGAGGCAUAGCAGCUUGCUGCAGGAGUUGUGGCUUACCAAGGCUGUGACGGGUAGCCGGCCUGGGGGGGCGACCGGCCACCUUGGGACUGAGGGACGGCCCAGACUCCGACGCGAGGGAGCAGGGGGGAAGAUUGCAGGAUGAGCGGAGGCCUGAUGAUGCAGCGCCGCGUGCGGGAUGACGGUGUUCUGGUUGUAAACCGCUUUCAGAAGGGACGAUGCUUGUGGUGACGGUACCUGAACAGAAAGCAACGGCUAACUACGUG